UACAGAGGGUGCGAGCGUUAAUCGGAAUUACUGGGCGUAAAGCGCAUGUAGGUGGAUAUUUAAGUCGGGUGUGAAAGCCCCGGGCUCAACCUGGGAAUCGCAUUCGAUACUGAAUAUCUAGAGUAUGGAAGAGGGUCGCGGAAUUCCCGGUGUAGAGGUGAAAUUCGUAGAUAUCGGGAGGAACACCAGUGGCGAAGGCGGCGACCUGGGCCAAUAUUGACGCUGAGGUGCGAAAGCGUGGGGAGCAAACAGG
rnacentral:rRNA from 1 species